UACGAAGGGUGCAAGCGUUACUCGGAAUUACUGGGCGUAAAGCGUGCGUAGGUGGUUUGUUAAGUCCGUUGUGAAAGCCCCGAGCUCAACUUGGGAAUUGCAGUGGAUACUGGCGAGCUGGAGUGCGGUAGAGGAAGGUGGAAUUCCCGGUGUAGCGGUGAAAUGCGUAGAGAUCGGGAGGAACACCAGUGGCGAAGGCGGCCUUCUGGACCAGCACUGACACUCAAGCACGAAAGCGUGGGGAGCAAACAGG
rnacentral:rRNA from 1 species